GGGCUGCUGGAGUGCCCUCCACCUGAAAGCCUGGAAAGAGAAGCACACUGGAUCUCCCUUGUGUAAAAUGAAAGGGAGAACCCCAAAGGAGGGUGCUGAGUGAACAAACACACUGAACUUCUGUAACAGAUGGCUGGCCUGAGGUGUGGAUUUUUGCGAAGCCUGUCUCGCUUACCCUCACUCAACAGGAUUGUAAUAUCUUCAAAGCAAAAACCUCCCCAAAAACAGUUGGAUGGACACUUAAAACUGAAAAACAACUAGCGUUUGGCAUCAACAUGUGGUCUGUUACAGGAAGAGUCUUGGUGGAGGCCAGAGCGGAGAUCCAGGUGAUGACAGGCGUGAUAUCAGCUCAGAGGAAGUGCUGACGGAUCCUGAGCUGGACAGUCAUGAGGGCUUUCAGGGUGAGGGUGAAGGCAAGUGAGAUAGACCACCUGUUCAGGACAACUAUCACGACACUGCCAGAUUCACUACAAAAUACAAGUUUAGAGCAACAUGAGGGAAGCCUCUCCACCAUGUUUGUUUGGGUUACUGUAGAACCAUGCAGCCACAUGACCUGAGGUCAGAUUCAAUCUCCAACUCUGAUCCACCCAAGUCUUGCCCAGAAUACAGUCUAAUAGUAUUUGCAUUCUGC